GAGAAAGUUCAAGACAGAAAGAGACUAAGAGUGUAUCACCACCCUGGCCAGGCUGAGAGAGAUGAUCAUGAUGAGCAGAUAUCAGAGAAAGUUCAAGACAGAAAGAAACUGAGAGCAUCACCACCCUGGCCAGGCUGAGAGAGAUGAUCAUGAUGAGCAGAGUUAUCUAGAAGGCAGAAAUGUAGACGUGAGCAUGACGAG